ACAAGCGGAGGAACAUGUGGUUUAAUUCGAUGAUACGCGAGGAACCUUACCUGGGCUUAAAUGGGAGUGACAGCUGGCGAAAGUUGGUUUUCUUCGGACACUCUUCAAGGUGCUGCAUGGUUGUCGUCAGCUCGUGCCGUGAGGUGUCGGGUUAAGUCCCAUACGAGCGCAACCCUUACUGUUAGUUGCCAGCGGGUCAAGCCGGGAACUCUAACGGGACUGCCACCGUAAGGUGAGAGGAAGGUGGGGAUGACGUCAAAUCAGCACGGCCCUUAUGUCCAGGGCUACACACGUGUUACAAUGGUCGGUACAAAGGGCAGCUACACCGCGAGGUGAUGCUAAUCUCUAAAGCCGGUCUCAGUUCGGAUCGAAGUCUGCAACCCGACUUCGUGAAGUUGGAUUCGCUAGUAAUCGCGCAUCAGCCAUGGCCGCGGUCGAAUACGUUCCGGGCCUU
rnacentral:rRNA from 1 species